GGGUAAGGAAAAUGUAGCACUUCUUCCAAACGCUAUAGGAAGAGACUCCUCCCUUCCUCUGCCUGAAGAAGCCUGAGAAUGUGAGAUCUGGAGUGAGGCAGCUUUAGGAGCAAGUCAGCCCAACGGCGAGAGAUGGAACUUAGCCCUGGGCAAUAUCUUUCCAGUUGCUGGAUCCAAACUCACCGCAUCUUCCUCCAGCCUUCUCAGCUACGAUUCAACAAUCAGGGCAACACCUGAACUACUUGAAAUAGAAGAAUAUUG
rnacentral:lncRNA from 1 species